rnacentral:tRNA from 1 species
GCGCCCGUAGCUCAGUGGAAUAGAGCGUCGGACUUCUAAUCCGAGGGUCGGGGGUUCGAAUCCCUCCGGGCGCG